AGCGAACGCUGGCGGCAGGCCUAACACAUGCAAGUCGAACGAAGUCUUCGGACUUAGUGGCGGACGGGUGAGUAACACGUGGGAACGUGCCUUUAGGUUCGGAAUAACUCAGGGAAACUUGUGCUAAUACCGAAUGUGCCCUUCGGGGGAAAGAUUUAUAGCCUUUAGAGCGGCCCGCGUCUGAUUAGCUAGUUGGUGAGGUAAAGGCUCACCAAGGCUACGGUCAGUAGCUGGUCUGAGAGGAUGACAGCCACAUUGGGACUGCGACACGGCCCAACCUCUUACGGGAGGCAGCAGUGGGGAAUCUUGCGCAAUGAGCGAAAGCCUGACGCAGCCAUGCCGCGUGGAUGAUGAAGGUCUUAGGAUUGUAAAGUCCUUUCACCGGUGAAGAUAAUGGCUGUAGCCGGAGAAGAAGCCCCGGCUAACUGCGUGCCAGCCGCCGCCGUAAAAC
rnacentral:rRNA from 1 species